rnacentral:rRNA from 1 species
AUUGAACGCUGGCGGCAUGCCUUACACAUGCAAGUCGAACGGCAGCGGGGACUUCGGUCCGCCGGCGAGUGGCGAACGGGUGAGUAAUGUAUCGGUACGUACCAUUCAGUGGGGGAUAACUAUCCGAAAGGAUAGCUAAUACCGCAUAUUCUGUGAGCAGGAAAGCAGGGGAUCGCAAGACCUUGCGCUGAUUGAGCGGCCGAUAUCAGAUUAGCUAGUUGGUGAGGUAAAGGCUCACCAAGGCGACGAUCUGUAGCGGGUCUGAGAGGAUGUGCCGCCAAGCGGGAAUGGAGAGACGGGCCAGACUCCUACGGGAGGAAGCAGUGGGGAAUUUUGGACAAUGGGGUCAACCCUGAUCCAGCCAUGCCGCGUGAGUGAAGAAGGCCUUCGGGUUGUAAAGCUCUUUCGGCCGGGAAAAAAUCGCAUGGGUUAAUACCCUGUGUGGAUGAUGGUACCGGAAUAAGAAGCACCGGCUAACUACGUGCCAGCAGCCGCCGUAA